rnacentral:rRNA from 1 species
UACGUAGGGUGCGAGCGUUAAUCGGAAUUACUGGGCGUAAAGCGUGCGCAGGCGGUUUUGUAAGCCAGAUGUGAAAUCCCCGGGCUCAACCUGGGAAUGGCAUUUGGGACUGCAAGGCUGGAGUGCGGCAGAGGAGACUGGAAUCCUGGUGUAGCAGUGAAAUGCGUAGAUAUCAGGAGGAAUACCGAUGGCGAAGGCAGGUCUCGUGGGCUGACACUGACUC